GAUGAAGAACGCAGCGAAAUGCGAUAAGUAAUGUGAAUUGCAGAAUUCAGUGAACCAUCGAAUCUUUGAACGCACAUUGCGCCCUGUGGUAUUCCGCAGGGCAUGCCUGUUCGAGCGUCAUUUCAACCCUCAAGCCUCGCUUGGUGUUGGGCCCUGCCCGCCGCGGCCGGCCCUAAAGAUAGUGGCGGCGCCGCCUGGCCCUCAGCGUAGUACAGCUCUCGCUCCAGGGUCCGGCGGCAGCCUGCCAGAACCCCCCAACUCUGUGGUUGACCUCGGAUCAGGUAGGGAUACCCGCUGAACUUAAGCAUAUCAAUAAGCGGAGGA
rnacentral:misc_RNA from 1 species